GUGGGGAAUAUUGGACAAUGGGGGGAACCCUGAUCCAGCCAUGCCGCGUGUGUGAAGAAGGCCUUUUGGUUGUAAAGCACUUUAAGCGAGGAGGAGGCUACCGAGAUUAAUACUCUUGGAUAGUGGACGUUACUCGCAGAAUAAGCACCGGCUAACUCUGUGCCAGCAGCCGCGGUAAUACAGAGGGUGCAAGCGUUAAUCGGAUUUACUGGGCGUAAAGCGCGCGUAGGUGGCCAAUUAAGUCAAAUGUGAAAUCCCCGAGCUUAACUUGGGAAUUGCAUUCGAUACUGGUUUGCUAGAGUAUGGGAGAGGAUGGUAGAAUUCCAGGUGUAGCGGUGAAAUGCGUAGAGAUCUGGAGGAAUACCGAUGGCGAAGGCAGCCAUCUGGCCUAAUACUGACACUGAGGUGCGAAAGCAUGGGGAGCAAACAGGAUUAGAAACCCUGGUAGUCC
rnacentral:rRNA from 1 species